AUGGCCAACUAUCUGGCGCAGUUCCAGACCAUCAAGUCCUCCUCGGACCGCAUCGUCAUCGCCGUUGAGGAUGUGAGUGACUUGUGGCUCAACGUCAAAGAUAGUUUUGAGCAACGCUUGCCAGUCAAGAAAGCCUGUCUCAAUAACAAGGCGAGGAACCCUGUUCUUGUGGAAAACCUACCAGCUGAGUUUAUACAGACAACUGAUUCAAGGCUGCGUAGUCGAUUUCCGCAAGAACAAUACUUGUUUUGGUUUCGCGAACCAUAUGCUACUGUUGUUCUUGUUACUUGCGAGGAUCUUGAUGAGUUCAAGACCAUUCUUAAGCCUCGCCUCAAAUUAAUUGUGCAAAAUGAUGAGAGAGAAUGGUUCAUUGUAUUUGUGUCGAAGGCCCAUCCUAGCAAUGAUCAAGCAACUAAGAUGGCAAAGAAAGUAUACGCUAGGCUUGAGGCCGAUUUCAACACUAAAAAGAGAGAAAGGUGCUGCAAAUUUGAUCUUCAUGGACCUGAUGAUGAAUUCUGGGACGAUUUUGACUCGAAAAUGGUGGACUGCAUAAGAAACACAUUGGAUAAAAGGGUUCAGUUCUAUGAAGAAGAAAACCGCAGGUUAAGUGAGCAGCGAUUCACACCAAUAUGGAACUUCUGCAACUUUUUUAUUCUGAAGGAAAGCUUGGCAUUUAUGUUUGAGGUGACUAACCUUCAUGAAGAUUCACUCCGUGAAUAUGAUGAGCUUGAACUAUGCUAUUCAGAAUCAGUAAAUCUCCCAGGGAAACCUCGAGAAUUUGGAGGACUGGAAACUGGUGAUGAUCAGGCUGCGCUGCUAAAUCCAGGGUUCAAAGCGUUGACCCAGAUUGUUCAGGAUGACGUGUUCAGGGAAUUUGAGUUUAGGCAAUACAUAUUUGCUUGCCAGGCUAAGUUACUAUUUAAACUGUCUCGACCAGUUGAGGUUGCUGCAAGAGGAUAUGCUUUUGUUGUCAGCUUUUCCAAGACGCUAGCCUUGCAUGAGAAUGCACUACCCUUUUGUUUCCGCGAAGUAUGGGUGAUAACUGCUUGUUUGGGUUUAAUUAAAUCCACAAGUACACAAUAUGAUGGUGGAGUUGUUGCUAUUGAUUCAGAGAAGGAGUUCUAUCGUCUUCAGGGUGACCUUUAUUCUCUCUGUCGUGCUAAGUUUAUGAGGCUUGCUUAUUUGAUUGGUUAUGGGGUUGGAAUAGAAAAAAGUCCAGUCAACAGUGCCUCAUUAAGCAUGCUAUCUUGGCCAAAGCCAGCUACCUGGCCUUCGAUUCCACCUGAUUCAUCAGCAGAAGUAAUGGCAAAGGAGAAGACAAUUCUUCAAGCAAAAGCAAGAGAAAAGCUCUUUGACAUUCAGAGGAAACCACUGCCAUUGGAACCUUCUUCUCUUCUACGUGAAGCUAAUAGGCGUAGAGCUUUUCUUUCAGUUGGAAAUUUGUCUGAAUUAUAUGAUCCAGUUGAUGGUUCAGGUUUAGGUCCACAUUCAAAACUUUCUCCCAACAAAUCUUCUUCCAACUUGAUGACAAGAACUAUGUCUGGGCCAGCAACCUCUGAGACUUCUCUACCAGUUGAUCGGCCCAUGAGGUUGUCAGAAAUUCAUGUUGCUGCUGAGCAUGCAUUGAAACAGACGAUAUCUGAUCCUGAUUUUAUGACGUCACUUUCAUCACCAGAAGAAUUUGAGAGUAGAUAUAUGGAGCUUACUAAAGGCGCAGCUGACAAUUAUCACCGCUCUUGGUGGAAAAGACAUGGAGUUGUGCUUGAUGGAGAGAUUGCAGCUAUAUUUUUUAAGCAUGGGAAUUAUGACCUGGCUGCAAAAUCCUAUGAGAAAGUGUGUGCUCUCUAUUCUACAGAAGGCUGGGAAGAACUGUUGGCAGAUGUUCUUCCUGAUCUUGCAGAAUGCCAGAAGAUUCUUAAUGACGAAGCUGGUUAUCUGGCUUCCUGUGUGAAGUUACUUUCUCUUGAGAGUAGCUUGUUUUCAUCUAAAGAGCGGCAGGCUUUCCAGUCAGAGGUUGUUCGGCUUGCUCACAGUGAAAUGAGGCAUCAUGUACCCCUUGAUGUUUCAUCAUUAAUUACAUUCGCUGGAAAUCCUGCUCCGCCACUAGAAUUAUGUGAUGGUGAUCCUGGUACACUAUCUGUAGCAGUCUGGAGUGGCUUCCCAGAUGACAUAACACUUGAGUCUCUCAGUUUAAGAUUGUCAGCUUUCUCUAGUGCAGAUGAAGGUCUUAAGGCAAUAAGGAGUACAGAUGCACGUAUUCUUGUACCAGGUAGAAAUAUUAUCACCUUCGACAUUCCUCCUCAAAAGCCAGGUUCCUAUGUGUUGGGCGCUCUCACUGGACAGAUUGGCAAGCUGUCAUUCAGAUCACAUGGAUUUUCUCAAGAUGGUCCAGUGGACACUGAUGAAUUCAUGAGCUUUGAGAAGCCAACAAGACCUGUUUUGAAGGUGAGAAAACCGAGGGCUUUGGUUGAUAUUACUCCUGCUGUAUCAUCUGCGUUGCUUAUGAAUGAACUCCAGUGGAUCGGGUUGAUUGUCAAGCCUAUAGACUAUUCUUUGAAAGGUGGCAUACUGCAUAUAGAUGCCGGUGCUGAACUAAAAAUUGAGGAGUCUCAGAUGAUUGAGAUAGAAAGGUACAGAAGCGAUGGGGAGCAUUCUGGUCCUAUUGAUGCUUCCAAGGCAUUAUCAAGGCCCACUGAUACUGGAAGGGUUGAGAAGGUUCCUAUAGAAAAUGGGAAGAUAAAGGUUGAGAAGGUUCCUAUCGAAAAUGGGAAGAUAAAACUGCCAGAUUGGGCUAGUGACGUGACAACGCUUGUUUGGUUCCCUGUUCGUGCUAUCGACGAUACAAUUCCAAAGGGAACAUCCCCAGCAUCCCCUCAGAAACAUAGCAUAGUAGAUGGGAUGAGAAUGAUUGCUCUCAAGCUUGAAUUUGGAGCUUUCCAUAAUCAAAUAUUUGAAAGGACCAUUGCCGUACAUUUCACUAAUCCAUUCCAUGUGAGCACACGUGUUGUUGACAAGUGCAAUGAUGGAACUCUACUUCUGCAGGUAAUAUUGCAUUCUGAAGUGAAGGCUACUCUGCAUGUAAAGGAUGUAUCAUUGGACCUACAAGCUGGAUUUGAGCACCUAGGCAAGGGAGAUGGACGUCCUUCUUCGAGUUUGUUCCCUCUGGUUAUUGCUCCUUCUUCCAAAGCUGGAAUCUUGUUUGUGAUACGUUUAAGUGGCACAAAAGACCUAGAUGAGCUGGAACAGGCUGACAGCAUGUUGCAUAUUAAAUACGGGAUAUCCGGUGACCGAGCAACCGGAGCACACUCUCCAGUUCCUGUUAAACCUGAUGAUUCUGAAGAGCUUCUAUUCAAGAUUUCACUCAAACUGAAGCGCCCUGUUCUAGAUCCAUGCCUGGCAGUUGGAUUCCUUCCGUUUUCUACCGAUUGCCUGAGGGUUGGUCAAUUAGUUAACAUGAAAUGGCGGGUUGAAAGGCUGAAGGACCUGGAGGAAGCAUCUCUGUCUGACGAUGAAAUACUUUAUCAGGUGGACGCUAAUCCACAGAACUGGAUGGUUGCUGGGAGGAAAAGCGGUCACAUUUCAUUCUCAGAAGCACAAGGAUCAAGGAUCGAGAUCGCCGUGACAUGUGUCCCGCUGGUGUCAGGGUACGUACACCCGCCACAGCUAGGCCUGCCCGACGUAGGCGAUGCGAAUAUCAGCUGCAAUCCAGCAGGCCCCCACCUGGUGUGCGUGCUUCCUCCCACUCUCAGCACCUCCUACUGCAUACCGGCUUGA
rnacentral:rRNA from 1 species